GAAAGAAGCAGCAAACAGCCCUCGGAGAAGGCACAAAGCUCUUCUGAGAAAUGUCUAGCAGAGACAGCUUCUUACAGUAACACUUUAUUUUAAUGGUCCUUUAAUGCAGAAAUUGACCAUGGUCGUCCCUCUUAGGCCUCAUUCACCCUAAAUAAAAAUGACCGUGUUGCCAGAGAUAGGUCCUAACGAGGUAUCAACCCCGGGGGUAGCCCAGGGGAGGCAGCGGGGCAAGAGAAAUGCCCUCUUUCUGCGGCGGCUGCAAUUCCUGCCUGUGACCUUGCACCCUCCCAUCCAGCUUUCCAUUUCCUUAUUUAGAUGAGCUUCCCUUAUACUUGGAGGGAAGGAUUCCUCUGCUGAGACUCCAUGGCAAUCAGCUUUCUGAGAAGUGGUUUGUUCUUCCAAGAAACCAAAGGGAGCCUGGUUGGUGUGCAUGCUGGCUUGUGGCUGAGCCGAGGGAGCCACGGAGGGCAGCUCACGACGGACCAGCAGGACACCGGGCUCCUGAGCCCUCGACAUCCACUCGUCACGAGCGGCAGGUUGAAGGCUGAACCACUGAACAAGAUAAUGAGAAUGUGUGAGGACCCUGGUUUGACAAUUGCCCUGUCUUGAGAAGUGUUGGAGAAGGGGGCUGCCGGGAGAGACACAGUGCCCUCAGCCCAGAUAUGGGUUUCUAAGAAGAAAGAGAAUUGUAAAGCUCUGAUCCUUUAAAACGCUGGAGAAAGCUCCUGGGAGGAAGUGAGACUUGUCUGAGGGCUGACAGAAGAACGAGUAUCAUUAAAUGCACUGGAAGAAGAAGAUCAUUCCAGGGACAAGACUUUACAGAAGUACCGAUGCGAGAAUGAGGGGUCCAAACUCUCUAGAAGACUCCAAUGAAUGGAGACAGGCCUCAGUCAAUUUUACACCAUGAGUGCAAAUUUAAGCUGGAUUAGUCUGGCCCUGCUAAGUACCUUGCUCAGGAACUGAAAUAUUAUAGCUGCAACAUGGCUAGCAGAGGAAAUGAAAUGGAAGCCUAUAAACCCUGAAGUGGAUAGCAGGAGCGCAAAUUCAGAGAACGAAGCAAAGUUUUAUUUUGGGGCUGUACCAUAAAGGUGACUUAGGUAGACCCAAGGGCCAGGGUUCUGUGUGCAUGUGUGCGGGCCCUUAGUGAUCAUUAACUUUGGAGGGGGA